rnacentral:rRNA from 1 species
GAUGAACGCUGGCGGCGUGCCUAACACAUGCAAGUCGAACGGACAGACGAGGCGCUUGCUCGUUUGACGUUAGCGGAGCGCGGGAGAGAAACAUGUGUAUAACCUACCUAUAUGACUGGGAAAACCUCGAGAAACCGGAGCAUAUACCGGAUAAUCUACUGAACCACAUGGUGGGAUAGUGAAAGACGGCUUUGCUGUCACUACUAGAUGCAUACGCGCCGCAUUAGGUGGUUGGUGAGGUAACAGCUUACCAAGGCGACGAUGCGUGGCCGACGUGAGAGGGGGAUCGGCCACCCUGGAACUGAGACACGGUCCAGACUCCUACGGGAGGCAGCAGUAGGGAAUGUUCCGCAAAGGGGGGAAGCAUGACGCAGCGACGCCGCGUGAGUGAUGAAGGCCUUCGGAUCGUAAAGCUCUGUUAUGAGUGAUGAACCAAUGUGUAAGGAAACAUGCCCUUAUUGACGGUACCUGAUCAAAAAGCAACGGCUAACUACGUG